CAAUGAUCGACACUGAACAAAUGUUUAAGAGCUGUCUGUGCAUAUUAGAUAGUGCAACCUAACAGUUUACUUAACAGAGGUCCUCAGAAAGAGUGUGUAUGUUUGUGUGUGGACAUUUUGAGUCUGCUGGGAUAUGUGCUAUGACCUUAAGGAAAUGCAGUCAGGAUCGCAGGGAGCUUGGAGCCUACAUCCCAGAGGACUCCCAAGGUGGGGGACACCCUGGACCCAUCGCAGGGCACAUUCACACACAUUACGGAGAAUUUGGGAAUGCGAAUCAGCCUACAAGGCGUGUCUUUGGACUGGGGAGGAAACUGGAGUACCCGGAGGAAACCCCCAAAUCAUGUGAAGAACAUGCAAGCUCCAUACAGUCAAACCCCCAACUCCGGAGGUGCUAGGCAAAUGUGCUAACCACUAAUUCACCGUGCUGCCCAUCUACAGGAAACUUAAGCAUAGACGUGUUCCCAGGAUAGGCUCCAAGUCCACUGUAACCCUGGCUAGGAGAAAGUGGUUACUGCUGAUUAAUGCUUGUAUCUUUCUCAUUUGUAAGUCGCUUUGGAUAAAAGCGUCUGCUAAGUGAAUAAAUGUAAUGUAAUGUAAUGUAAUGUAAUGAAUAUAUAUUGUUUUCAUAAAAAAAACUAAAAAUAG
ensembl:lncRNA